rnacentral:rRNA from 1 species
UAGGGAAUCUUCGGCAAUGGACGAAAGUCUGACCGAGCAACGCCGCGUGAGUGAAGAAGGAUUUCGGAUCGUAAAACUCUGUUGUUAGAGAAGAACAAGGACGUUAGUAACUGAACGUCCCUUGACGGUAUCUAACCAGAAAGCCACGGCUAACUACGUGCCAGCAGCCGCGGUAAUACGUAGGUGGCAAGCGUUGUCCGGAUUUAUUGGGCGUAAAGCGAGCGCAGGCGGUUUCUUAAGUCUGAUGUGAAAGCCCCCGGCUCAACCGGGGAGUGUCAUUGGAAACUGGGAGAAAUGAGUGCAGAAGAGGAGAGUGGAAUUCCAUGUGUAGCGGUGAAAUGCGUAGAUAUAUGGAGAAACACCAGUGGCGAAGGCGGCUCUCUGGUCUGUAACUGACGCUGAGGCUCGAAAGCGUAGGGAGCAAACAGG